GGUGCUGUAGCUUAGAGGGUAAAGCUGUGGCCUGCAGUACUUUACCAUAUGAGCACUAUAUGGGCGCUAGCUCAAGUCCUGCCUGCUCCA
rnacentral:tRNA from 1 species